AUAGUCUUGCUGCUAGAUUAUACACAAUUUAUUGGACCGAUUGGUUUCGAUUAAUAUUUGUAAUUUGAAUGCCAUUUAGGGCGCUAGUUUAGUUAAUUUUUAAAGAUGUUAUUUAUAAUAAUGUUUCACAAAAUUUGUUUCAAUGAUGUGCUUGAACUUUAGAAUUGAAUGGGUUAAAAUUUAGUUUCUUUUUUACAUUACAACAUUACAACAACAACAUUUACAACAUUAUAAAUCUACUUAUAACUCAUGAAUUGUAUUCAUGUUUCCUGUCGAUUUUUUUAAGUUUUGCAUAGUAUCUAAACUUUAAAAUAAUAAGUAAAUCGAUACUGAAUUGAGAGUUUUCUUUUCAAGUAGUGCAUUAUGCAACGCUGUCGAAGAGUAUUUACUAUGAGCCCAAUUAUUAGCUAUCAUUGGUUUUCAUCAUUGAAACCAAUCAUCGGAAUCCAAUCAGAUUCUUUAUAGCGAACAUUAUAAAUGUCUGUCAUUGAAAAAAUCUAUCGUCAAAUUUUGACUGACAGAAACCUGUCAUUGAAACUCUGUGAAAUUGGAACACAAUUUAGUGGAACGAUUUGUUUCACUUUUAAACAUAAAAAUAUCAGCUGUUCAGGAAAAUGAAUGUCCGUCCCGAAUAUAGAAAAAUGCAUUUCUACCGAAAAAAAUAUCAGUACAAUUAAACUUAAAAAAAAAAAAUUCUUUGUGUCAUUUCCGAUCGCAUUAAUUUCAAUGAUAGCUAUAACUGUUUCCUAUGUUAAUUAAAAUAUAGAAUAGUUUAAGUAGGGCUUACUCUUUGUCUUGCCCUUUCUCUCCCGACACACAUAAAAACAGUUCUUACAGAACCGAUUUCGUUUUUCUAAAAUAUAAAAAGAGUGUUUAAAAAAUAUAUAUUAAAUCACUCUCAUGUAUUUAAAAAACGAUUUCAACCACAGUUGUUGAGAACUUUGAACAAAAGCAAAGAAUAUAUUACCUUGUGUUAUGUUCAAUGCAUUGAAAUCUCAAGUGGCAUCUAUAUCAUUAUAUUAUCGCUUGAUUUUUAAACAUUAUUUUUUAAACGCACGUUAUUUACUCAUGAUCAUGAUGGAUUCUACUUAAGUUAACAACAAAUCAAUAACAAAAAAGAAUUAAGAUCCAAAAAAUAAAAUUAUGAUUUGAAGCUAUAUGCCUACUUGCACAAGAAAAAAGUAAGACCAAGGACAAGUGAACAGCAUUAUGAUAAGGAUAAUAAUAAAUAAAGACAAAUGUAGGAAUACAUACUAGGAACAACACCAAUCACUUCUACCGAUUUAUAAUGGGUCGGUAUGAGAAACAAUCAACAAAGUCAGAAUAUGAUCGGGUUUUCCAGCUUAUUUUCCGCCCAGGCCCAGUGCAAACUCAAAACCACCAAACCUUUAAAAAAAGCUUUCUUUUGUAACACGCAGUCACCACAUGAUUUUGUAUAUGCAGUGAAAUGCCUAUACUUAAUUUCUUUUACUCGAUUUUGGAUGCAGGUGGGGGUAGGGUAUUGCUGGUUAAGAAUAAUAUGAGUGAUUUUUGAAAACUGAGGUGGGUGUAUAACAAUAAAAUAGGAUGGAAUUUUGCUGACGCAAAUUUGUUGCCAAGUUUUAUCGAUACAUGGUUUUUGUUUUGUUGCAAUUUAAAUUAUUCGCAAAAUAUAAUAUUAUGAUUAAGUCAAGAGAAUAAAGAAAC